rnacentral:lncRNA from 1 species
GAAAAGGCAAGAAAAUCCUAAAUGAUUCAACGUUAAUAUAAUCAGAUACACAGAAAAGAUCUUUCUUGUACAAACACCAGAUCAUGUCAUAUUUAUUCAAUAUUACAUAGAAGAAGAAGAAGAACACUAAAGUGAGAAACCAAAGACCUUUUUCUUCUAAUACAACUACUUUUUGAAGAAGCCUCCAGCCAAACUUGCAAGACCACCCAAACCACCACCCUCUUCAGGUUUGGAAUCUGCAGGUUGAGAAGGUGCAGCAGCCUUGUCCUGGUACUGGUGCAGAUAAUCGGCAGCUUUGUCCACGUACUGCCCUAUGCCCUGCUGCCCGUCCAGUUUCCCAUACUUCCCCGCCGCGUCAAGAAGGUCUCCCGCCGCGUCCGCCACCUUUGUCUUGUCCACCUUGUCGCUUUCGUUCCGGAGAGUGGACUGC